UCUGCUAGAGUCGUGAGGAGCACAUUCGGGUGUAUAUAACUAGACUCUGCUAGAGUCGUGAGGAGCACAUUAGGGUGUAUAUAACUAGACUCUGCUAGAGUCGUGAGGAGCACAUUAGGGUGUAUAUAACUAGACUCUGCUAGAGUCGUGAGGAGCACAUUAGGGUGUAUAUAACUAGACUCUGCUAGAGUGGUGAGGAGCACAUUAGGGUGUAUAUAACUAGACUCUGCUAGAGUCGUGAGGAGCACAUUAGGGUGUAUAUAACUAGAC